GCCCCCGUGGCCUAAUGGCUAAGGCGUAAGACUUCUAAUCUUAAGACUGCGGGUUCGAGUCCCGCCGGGGGUU
rfam:Metarhizium anisopliae BRIP 53293 unplaced genomic scaffold Scaffold_21, whole genome shotgun sequence.